UGGCGUCUCUCACAAGCGUCUUAUCUGAGUACAUCUAUUUCUUGCCUUUUACUCUGUCUCUGGCGGAUUUCCUUCUUCUCCGAGGCACAAAGAACCUGAACCUCAGUGAGUCCAGACACUGGAACUGAAACCCCCAACAAAUGGAAGGCGUUGAUCAGGUCUCCUUCAUUCCAAAAGAAGGAUCAUCAGAACCAGUCCUGGGACCACCUGAACACCAGAGUCACGGAUGCCAGAGGCCAUGGAGAUGAGAACAGUGGCCACACACAGCUGCGGAGAGGGGGCCCUCCAUGGUGACCAGCGGGCGUGUGCCUGGGCUAAAGGGGGCAGAAGUCACUCAGCGUCAGCCAGUGACCGCCACGUGAGAGGAACCCAGUGUGAGGUGGUGAGCCCCGACUCUGUAAACUUCCCACUUCGCGAUGCCUCGGUGGUUGAGGAGACACUUGAAGAACGUGGAAAGCAUCCUGAGGACAAGGACAAAAAUGCUUAGCAGGUGACAGAUGUGUGGGGCCUACUUAACGAAACAUCAUUUUGUCCCAGGAAGGGAUAUUUGAGCUGACUUAGACUAACCAUCUUCGGCUAAGUCAGUGCUCUCAGACAAACGGAGAAUUGAGGAAAUUAUCUUGGAAACGUAGGUGAAAAUGUUUCCCCUGAGAUAUUUUAACACCUGGGACUAGGGUGUCUCUUAAGAUAAUUUGGGUGAAAAUUUGCGCCCCUUUCUCCAUUUUAUUGCAUGUGGAAAGAGCAGAUGUUUUCCAAGAAUUGUUUACGCUUGUCCCCUACAAUUUGUUUUCAUGCCCGUGUCACUCUUUGAGUCACUGCAGGCUGGCAUCUACCCUCACAGCUGCCAGAGUCCAGCUCCGACGGCCUUUCCCAGACUUCACUUUAUUGGCCUCUUGGCGGUAUGGGACCCUGGACCACUCUUCCCUUUGUAAAGCAUCUCUUCCUUUGGUUUCUGUGACCUCACGUUCUCCUGGCUUUUCCCUCCUUCUCCAGUGGAUUCUGCUCAGUUUCUUUAGGAAGCUCGUUUUUCUCUCCAUCCUUAAACACUGGU